rnacentral:tRNA from 1 species
GCCAGCGAGGCAUAGUGGUUUGAGUGUUGGACUACGACUUUGGAGAGCAGGGUUCAAUUCCCAGCUCAGCCA